CUUAGAGGAGCUGCUGUAUACUAGAAAAAAUGAUGUUGAUGAUUUAACCCCAUCAAUUAGCAUUUUAGCAUUACAUUAUUGUCAAUUGCUAUCUGCUCUAUUUGUUCCAACCUGUUAUGAGAGUCAAAAUGUAUACCUAGGGUGGGAAUUAAACCCAUGUACGUUCAUUUACUUUAUUGUUCUUUGUGUACAUAAAAUGUACAUGUACAUGAAAUAUAUCAAAUGCAAAAAAUGCUGUAAUGUAUCAUUACACCCUCACUAGUUAAGGACCAAGUAAAGGAAGUCCCUGCACCUACCUAGACGUAUUUCUUGGGUAAGAUGUAUUAUAUAACUCUUGAAAGUAUAACACGAUAAAGGUUAUUGGUAAGUAUAUAGUAACAUCAACGUGCAAUUCAGG
rnacentral:lncRNA from 1 species